rnacentral:lncRNA from 1 species
GUUGCGUUAAAAACACACUUAGAGCAAGUGUACUCUAGGGCAGAAGUAGUAUAAAAGAUUAUCGUAUCCACAGGGAUUAAUUAACAAGUACCAAACUAUUUAAGAUUAUUUAUUACUUAGACGNNNNNNNNNNNNNNUCAAUUACCAAUCCCUUUACGAAAACUAUUAACCCGUUUGGUCAUUCGUGAUUAAUAUUCUUUUUCCUAAAUUAACCUUUGUUUGGUCAUGCAAAGAGUUGAAAUUCAAGAAAAGCAUAAAGUGUAAAAAGGUUGAAUGAUUGGAAGACAAAGAUUAAAGUUUGGUCAUGCAAUAAUCUAAGUCUCAUUUAUCCUAUAGGUCCACCAAUUAACUGCAGUACGGUCGCUGAUCAAUCAAUUGAUUAUAAACAUUCAUAGGUUGAUCAUUCCUAAUAAUGUGAUAAAAUCAAUAGGAUAAAAUUAAUUGAACUAAAAAUAGAAAUUCAAACAAGAAACUAGAACAUAAAACUAAGACAUAGUAUAAGGAAUUUCAAUUACAAGAUCUACCAUAAACCCUAGAAGAGUAUUUAGCUACAUAUAAUCAUGAAGAACACUAAAAGAUUUAUGAAAUUAAGAGAAGAGAAUGACCCAAAAAUACUUCAAUUGUUGUUGGUAUUCUCCUCUAUGUUCUUCAAUCUCUGCCUCUCAAAAAUAUGUACAGCGUCCUUUUCUCCGAAGAAAAACGUCAUACCCAACUGCAACUCAGAAACUCUAUUUAUAACCCUCUUGAAU